AUCGCUUCUCGGCCUUUUGGCUAAGAUCAAGUGUAGUAUCUGUGAAUGGGCUUUGCUCUUGGUCUGGGCAGUGAGAUUCUUAUGAAUUUCUGCGAUUGAAGAGAAACUGGCAGCAGUUAACAAAAUGCAGUGCCUGUCAUUAAAACUGGUCACUU
rnacentral:snRNA from 1 species